GGGAAGGUGGCUCAGUGGUAGAGCACUUGCCUUGCAUGCUCGAGGCCCUGGGUUCGA
rnacentral:tRNA from 1 species